CAGCAACUUCGGCCUGUGCAAUGCCUUUUCAUUUGUGCAUAAGGGGUGGUUUUGCCUCGUGCGUUGUUUGGGUUCCUUGUGCCGCAUACCUGCCUGAUGGUACCGAGUUGUUUUACCAACGUCCCUUUUCAUCGUGCGUCGCUUGCGUGGCGUGCGGUGAACCACGAAGCGUUCUCUGUGAUCCGCGUCAUUGAUGCGUACGCGUCGGUGAUGUGGCUCAUUGAGAAUUUCUUGGUCUCUCGGAUACGGAACAUUGUUUGGGCGUGGGGUGUCUUACGACCCCUUGUUUGCCUUGGUUAAGCUUUCGUGCUUCCUUACAACGACUGUCGGUCGCGUGUCGACUCGUUCGUACGGGGCCGACAACGUCGGA
rnacentral:misc_RNA from 1 species